GACGAACGCUGGCGGCGCGCCUAACACAUGCAAGUCGAGCGAUGAAAUUUUAACCGAUCUCUUCGGAGAGAAGAUAAAAUGGAUUAGCGGCGGACGGGUGAGUAACACGUGAGAAACCUGCCUUUCACAAGGGGAUAGCCUCGGGAAACCGGGAUUAAUACCCUAUGACACAUUUCCUUCGCAUGGAAGAAAUGUUAAAACUCCGGUGGUGAAAGAUGGUCUCGCGCCUGAUUAGCUAGUUGGUGGGGUAACGGCCCACCAAGGCCAUGAUCAGUAACCGGCCUGAGAGGGUGAACGGUCACAGUGGAACUGAGACACGGUCCAAACUCCUACGGGAAGCAGCAGUGGGGAAUAUUGCACAAUGGAGGAAACUCUGAUGCAGCGACGCCGCGUGAGCGAUGAAGGCUUUCGAGUCGUAAAGCUCUGUCCUAUGGGAAGAUAAUGACGGUACCAUAGGAGGAAGCCCCGGCUAACUACGUG
rnacentral:rRNA from 1 species